UUAAACUGAAGAGUUUGAUCCUGGCUCAGAUUGAACGCUGGUGGCAUGCUUAACACAUGCAAGUCGAACGGUAACAGGUCUUAGGAUGCUGACGAGUGGCGGACGGGUGAGUAACGCGUAGGAAUCUGCCCAUUUGAGGGGGAUACCAGUUGGAAACGACUGUUAAUACCGCAUAAUAUCUGUGGAUUAAAGGUGGCUUUCGGGCUGUCGCAGAUGGAUGAGCCUGCGUUGGAUU
rnacentral:rRNA from 1 species